CUAGUGUCUUGGCCAUCAGUUUGGAACAGUCGUAAAGCUGAUGUUUAGGAUCUUGACAAAACACACAGGGAGGUUUAGUAUUUUUCUUUAUACUCCUUUGUCUAUCAUGCCCCAUGUCGGUUUGAGUAUUAAGGACAUUAACCUUAUUUCCUUUAGACUCUCUAGAAUUUCGUUUCUCAGCAGAUACUAAACUGAGAGCAUAAGAUGACGUGACCGGAUUACAACCAAUCUCUGCCUCUAAUGAAACAAAUGCUGCAAAGGCCUUAAAAUCGGGGAAAUCCUUAUGGUCUCUCAAGGUUUGUGUAACCUGUCGAUUCCAACGUGAAGCAGCCCAUUCAGGAAGUUUUUGAACUAACCUUUGGUUUUCCUCGCAGUCAUUUAAAAUUUGUAGAUUUGCAACAUGAGCCAUGGCAUCUUGACUGAAUUUUAGGCCAGUUUGCAAGCUUCUGUCGAAAGGCACGUUGUAUCACAAAUGGUUGACCAUACCUUUGAUCUAAUCUGCUCCAGGCAUCCGUAUAUGCUUCGUUGUCACUCCUGUAGAAGGUGCCAUUCAAGGCUUUGUGUGCCGAUCCACCCACAUACCUUUUCAGAUAAUAAAGUUUGUCAGCAGCAGAUAUACUCUUUCGAUCAAUCAGUGACAUAAAGGAAGCCUUCCACUCAACAUACUGAAUGGGAUCACCAUUAAAUACAAAAGGCUCUGGAGCUGGCAGUCUGUUCAAAUUUAUACUAUCUUGCAUGGCUUGAAUGAGAGAAGGCAGUUCAUUUUGAGAUGAGGAAAUUAAUUUAUUUGCAGGUUGGCUAGAAGAAAUCUGAGGCAAGCAAUGCUGUUCUCCAACAAUGUAGUUUGUUGCAGGAUUUGUGUCAACUUCUUGCACUGCCAUCCGAUUAUAGGCCUCAAACCUAGCUUGUGCUACUCUUAAAUCCUUUUCUGCCUGUAACUUCUCCAAUUCACGUUUUUGCACAUUCAAGUCUCUCUCUUGUUUGUCUCUUAAUUCUUGAAUCUUCUCCUUCUGUUUAUUUUCCUCCAUUAGUAUAUUAUACUCAACUUCCUUUGCAGCCAGCUCUGCAGCUGCUUCAGCUUGUUUUGAAGUUCCAAGUGAAGAUACAGUAUGAUGACUUAACUGAGUAGUAGACCUGUGACUAAUUCGGGUGACAGUGGAGCCAUAGAUAGAACGAGCAUAACUAGAUUCGAGUAAUUCCCUUAAGCGAUGUUUUGCUUGUUCUGAAUCAAACUCAUCAAUGCCUGAUAUUCUUUCAUAGGCGACCUUAAUUAUAUCUGUUGUCACUGCCUCACAAGCAUCGAUACGUCGUCUCAAUUCAGUAGAUGGUGUAACAUGAUCUCUAACUUCAACAUAGAGCUGCAUAACAUUCUCCUUUCCUUCUUCCAAAAUAUCAAUAAGAGAUGCUAUCUGGCUCUCAGUGAUAUCAGAUUUGAGUUGAUCUCUGGCCUUACGUGCUAACAUUUUCCAUUUUUCAUACAUGGAAAGAAGCUUUCUUUCUUUCCUUUGAAUUUCUUCCUUUUGUAAUGCAAGCAUUUUUGGAGUAAGAUUACGUGGACGAACAGAACGUCGUGGAGCUUGAGAUUCUUCUAAAGUUUCUUGAAGUUUACACUUAAGUUCACUCAAAAUCUGUUCUUUAGCCUCAAUUGUCUCUAUUAUCUGUUCUCGCUCUAAACUACCUGCUGAUGUUUGAUACUCAUUGUUAAGGGUUUCAAUAUCGUGUUGGAGAAUAUUAACCUGCCUUUCACCUUCUACAUUAUCAAAGGAUGAAUUUAACGCUGUCAUUUUAAAAUGAACUAAUUAGCACAACUAUAAAAUAUUUCCAGCACUAUAAUAAGGUGAUUUCAAGUCACAAACAGCAUAAAUGAUGGUCUCAAACAUUAGAAACAACAGUAAAAAAAUAUCCCUUUUUGAAUAAACGUAUUUCUUAAAACACAAAUAUAUUAU
ensembl:lncRNA